GCAUCGAUGAAGAACGCAGCGAAAUGCGAUAAGUAAUAUGAAUUGCAGAUUUUCGUGAAUCAUCGAAUCUUUGAACGCACAUUGCGCCCUCUGGUAUUCCAGAGGGCAUGCCUGUUUGAGCGUCAUUU
rnacentral:rRNA from 1 species